GAGGAAAGAAUGAUGGCUGUUUACUAUUCCUAACUUCUGACCAAAAAGAAAUUGGAUUGGAUUCCUACUAAGCUGGUUGAACUUAGCCCAAAAAGGACCAGAUGGGGCCAUCAUUUCCAAUAACUACUGUGAUUUCUGCCUUGGAGGAUCUAAUAUGAAUAAAAAAAGUGGACGACCAGAAGAGCUUGUUUCAUGUUCGGACUGUGGGCGUUCUGCUCAUUUGGGAAGAGAAAGCAGGAAGGAAGACGCGGCUGCAGCAUUUCCCACGGAGGACUUGUUCGGUUCCACCUCGGAAAGCGACACCUCAACUUUUCAUGGUUUUGAUGAGGAUGAUUCGGAAGAGCCUGUCUCAAACUGGAGCAGCAGCUCCCACUCUGCAAAGAAAAAAGGCAGUUGCUAAAAUAACUAAAGCGCACAAACUCUAUGAAUGACUUUUCUGCCCUUUCUGCUACUUUUAAACUCUUACUGUUGUUACUGCAUUUUUUUUAGAGCCACCUGUUUUCACUUUGGGGCGAAUACACUGAAAGCACAACAAACUAAUUUUUUAAAAAAGAAAACCUCUGAAAUCUUUUUUUUUUUUUACAUUUAUUUUCAAUAUUUCCUUAACAGUGCAAAUGUGAAAUGUGGAUAUCCUUUUUUUAAGUAAUAAGUAAACAAUUAAAUAGAAGAGCGCUAAUUUUAUCAGCUUUUAAGAUAUAUAUAUAUAGGUAUAGAUAUAUACAUAUAUAUUAUACACAGGUACAACACAAAAUCGGAAGGGUUGGCCACCAGCAGGUACCUAUCUCAAAUAGUGUUUUAAAUAUUUAUUUCUAUAUUCUAUAUAUUAUUAGAAGAAAGACUUGAGAUUAAGGCAAAAAAAAAAAGAG